CUGCUCUAACCAAUAUCAUCUCUCACUCAUUUACUAAUUUUCUCAAUGUUACAGAAUGUCAAACACGUGGAGGUAGUGGUGGAAGUGGAGGAAAUGGUGGCAGCUGUGGACAGCAGACCCAGGACUGCCCACAACCCCCCAGUAAGUACUUUUAUGAAUUCAGGACUAUUGAAAGUUAGAUGCUAUAGAAAGUUAGUUCCUACUUUGUCUCUGUAUAUCUGUUGACUGGGUUGGAAUUGCAAUGAAAUUCCAACGCAGUCAGUAUGAGUAUUUAAUAAAACUUUUGUCAUUAUGAAAUACUCAUUUUGGAUGGGGGUGACAGAGCCGCUUUAAAUGACAAUUAAGCAUUUUACUUAAUUUUUUUUACUUUUAGAUCCUUGCCAAGAAAAAGGCAGUCGAGGAAGCAAAUGAGAUUGGAACCUGAAUGUGCACGCUUAGUGCUCUAGAGCUUUUGCAACUGUAUCCCUCAUUCUUCUAAUAUGAUAUUAAUC